GACGAACCGUGCGAACGUUAUUCGGAAUCACUGGGCUUAAAGGGCGCGUAGGCGGGCCAGCAAGUCAGGGGUGAAAUCCCACGGCUCAACCGUGGAAGAGCCUUUGAUACUGCGGGCCUCGAGGGAGGUAGGGGCGUGCGGAACUUCCGGUGGAGCGGUGAAAUGCGUAGAUAUCGGAAGGAACAUCGGUGGCGAAAGCGGCGCGCUGGACCUCUUCUGACGCUGAGGCGCGAAAGCCAGGGGAGCAAACGGG
rnacentral:rRNA from 1 species